rnacentral:lncRNA from 1 species
UGAAAUUUAGAGACGGCUUAGGGACGACAAUGAAAAUUUGGGCGCCAAAAAAUUGGUACGGAAAAAAAUUAGGGACGGAUUAGAGACGGCUUGGUCCUGACCCCAUAUAACCCUAAAUUCUAAUUAGCGACGACCAAUGCCGUCUCUAAUCCUUCCCUAAUAAUUAGAGACGGAUAUGAAGGUCGUCUCUAAAAAUUCAGCG